rnacentral:tRNA from 2 species
UCUAAUAUGGCAGAUUAGUGCAAUAGAUUUAAAUUCUAUAUAUAUAAUUUAUAUUAUUUUUAGAA